rnacentral:rRNA from 1 species
UACAGAGGGUGCGAGCGUUAAUCGGAAUUACUGGGCGUAAAGCGCGCGUAGGCGGCUUUGCAAGUCGGGUGUGAAAUCCCCAGGCUUAACCUGGGAACUGCAUUCGAGACUGCAUUGCUAGAGUAUGGGAGAGGGAAGUGGAAUUUCCGGUGUAGCGGUGAAAUGCGUAGAUAUCAGGAAGAACACCUAUGGCGAAGGCAGCUCUCUGGGACGGUACUGACGCUGAGACGCGAAAGCGUGGGGAGCGAACAGG